AACGCGAAGAACCUUACCUAGGCUUAACAUGCAGAGGACGCACUCAAAAAUGAGUGUUCCCUUUCGGGCUUCUGCACAGGUGGGCCUGGCUGUUGUCGUCUCCUGCCGUGGAGAGAUGGGUUAAGUACCCCAACCAGCGCAACCCUUAUCAUUAGUUGCCAACACCUUAAGGUGGGAACUCUAAUGAGACUGCCUGGGUUAACCAGGAGGAAGGGGGGGAUGACGUCAAGUCCUCAUGGCCCUUAUGUCUAGGGCUACCCACAUGCUACAAUGGUCGGUACAAAAGGCAGCGAAACCCCAAGGGGAAGCAAAUCCUAAAAAACCGGCCCCAGUUCAGAUUGUAGUCUGCAACUCGACUCCAUGAAGUUGGAAUUGCUAGUAAUGGCGAGUCAGCAACAUCCCCGUAAAUACCUUCCCGGGUCUUGUACACACCG
rnacentral:rRNA from 1 species